rnacentral:tRNA from 1 species
AAGUGGUUAGCUCAGUUGGUAGAGCAGCUGAUUCUUAAUCAGUUUGUCGUGAGAUCGUAGCUCACACCAUUUA